AGUGAACGCUGGCGGCAGGCCUAACACAUGCAAGUCGAACGGCAGCACAGGAGAGCUUGCUCUCUGGGUGGCGAGUGGCGGACGGGUGAGGAAUAUAUCGGAAUCUACCCUUUCGUGGGGGAUAACGUAGGGAAACUUACGCUAAUACCGCAUACGAACUGAGGUUGAAAGCGGCGGACCGCAAGGCGGCGCGCGGAGGGAUGAGCCGAUAUCCGAUUAGCCAGUGGGCGGGGGAAAGGCCCACCAAGGCGACGAUCGGUAGUUGGUCUGAGAGGAUGAUCAGCCACACUGGAACUGAGACACGGUCCAGACUCCUACGGGAGGCAGCAGUGGGGAAUAUUGGACAAUGGGCGCAAGCCUGAUCCAGCCAUGCCGCGUGUGUGAAGAAGGCCUUCGGGUUGUAAAGCACUUUUGUUGGGAAAGAAAAGCGGUCGGUUAAUACCCGGUCGUUCUGACGGUACCCAAAGAAUAAGCACCGGCUAACUUCGUGCCAGCCGCCGCGGUAACAC
rnacentral:rRNA from 1 species